rnacentral:rRNA from 1 species
AUUGAACGCUGGCGGCAGGCCUAACACAUGCAAGUCGAACGAGUGGCGGACGGGUGAGUAAUGUCUGGGAAACUGCCUGAUGGAGGGGGAUAACUACUGGAAACGGUAGCUAAUACCGCCUACCAUCGGAUGUGCCCAGUUGGGAUUAGCUAGUAGGUGGGGUAACGGCUCACCUAGGCGACGAUCCCUAGCGGGUCUGAGAGGAUGACCAGCAACACUGGAACUGUGACACGGCCCAGACACCUACGGGAGGUAGCAGUGGGGAAUAUUGCACAAUGGGCGAAAGCCUGAUGCAGCCAUGCCGCGUGUAUGAAGAAGGCCUUCGGUUUGUAAAGUACUUUCAGCGGGGAGGCGUUACCGGAAGAAGAAGCACCGGCUAACUCCGUGCCAGCAGCCGCGGUAAUUC